GGAAACCUUGUUACGACUUCUCCUUCCUCUAAGUGAUAAGGUUCACUAGAUUUCCCAACGCUUAACCUGGAAAACCAAGUAGAGCAUCGGUCCAAAUUAUUCACCGGAUCACUCAAUCGGUAGGAGCGAC
rnacentral:rRNA from 1 species